rnacentral:rRNA from 1 species
AUACGGAGGGUGCAAGCGUUAAUCGGAAUUACUGGGCGUAAAGGGCGCGUAGGCGGACUAUUAAGUUGGAUGUGAAAGCCCUGGGCUCAACCUGGGAAUGGCAUUCGAUACUGCAGAGCUAGAGUAUGGUAGAGGGAAGUGGAAUUUCCGGUGUAGCGGUGAAAUGCGUAGAUAUCGGAAGGAACACCAGUGGCGAAGGCGACUUCCUGGGCCAAUACUGACGCUGAGGUGCGAAAGCGUGGGGAGCAAACAGGAUUAGAAACCCCAGUAGUCC